UGCAAUGGAGUAGAAUGGUAUAGUUUAAGGGUUAAAUUACAAAUUCAGCCUAAUAAAAACCUAAAAAUUUAAAGUUCAGUUUUUUUUGGAGUGCACGACGUAUUCAUCGAGAUUUUUGCUGCAAUUUUCUUGAAACUUUAAUAGCUCAAGCUGAUUCAGUCGUCCAAUUUCAAUUAAGUCUGAGGCAUUAAGCGGCGGAAUAUAAAAGCUAAAGAACAAACUUAAGAAAAUAUUAAAAUUUGUUGAGCAGUAUAUAUUCUAUAACUUGUGUUUUGCAAUCUUUGCUAUGUUCGACGAAAUGUCUCAAAGAGGUGAGCCAAUUUAAGCGGGAAACAUGAACCUUUGUGCAUCAAGAUUCUCUCUUGAAGUCCUAUCUUUUCUCGGACGCGCUUCCUCUAAUUAGCUGUAGAAGAAAAUUCUCUGUAAAUUAUUACAGAAUGGAUGAAAUUUUAGGAAAUAAUAGUAUUGAAGAUGUGAGCUGGCUCUGUUUGCUAUCCGAAUCUGAGCUCGAUAUGCUGAUUAGCUUGAAAAUGCUGGUAAUUCAAAGAGCAAAAGUGAUUGGUCAUGGGGAAUUAGCUUCAAAAUUUGAUCUGAAAAUGCUUCGAGCUCUCGGUGAGUAGAAUGUUCACUGAAAUGUUGUUGAAUUAUUUGAGAUUUUGACUGCUCUUGUUUUGAUGGAAUAUCUGAAGGGGAAUAUGAAAAACUUAACCCAUAUUCCGGGCCUGGCCAACUCUCCAAUAUUCAUGGACGGUUGUAGUUUAUUGCAAUGUAAGCUGUGUGACCUGUUGAGCAUUGAAGAGCUAAAGACAUGCAUCGAUAUACAUGAAAAGAAAAAACAAACUACGAGGAACUGAUCUCUGGGGCACAUCGAAUGAUGUCUGUAUUGGAAUUUGGAAACGAUCUUUCGGUGGUAUGUCCUUAUAGAAAGGCAGAGUACAUUAUAAACUCUUCUAGAGGUAGCAUUGAAGCUAGCCAUCUAGAAUUGACGAUGCCAAACCGAAAUACUUAGUAUUCUUCAAAGAGGUUAUUCUAAUUCCUUCCCUUGUGAUUCUUGUAUACUCGUGACUUACUAUGGGGUUCAUACCUAUUGUCUACUGACAUUGCAUUUUUGCAUGAAGCAAUAAUGAUGGUUAUUGCAGCGAAAAGGAUCAUAGUAUUUAUAGACAAGUUAGAUGAGGGUUUUAUGCUAACAAGGUACAUGUAACCACAAUCCUUACUUAUGCGUUCAAUAAGUUUGUUGUUGAAAUACGAAAGUAAAACGAAGCCAAUUUUCGAGAUGCAAGAAAUUCUACAAGUAGAUAGAAGAAGGCUUAAAUCCACAAAAAUGUAUAAAAUAUAACUUUACUCCACGAAAAUGAGUAUAUAAGCUGUAUUCUAGCGGCACAGUUGCAUCUUUGUUGGAUUAAUCUUGAAAGUUGAAACCAUCUGAAUGUUUAGGUUCA